rnacentral:misc_RNA from 1 species
AAGUCGUAACAAGGUCUCCGUUGGUGAACCAGCGGAGGGAUCAUUAUUGAAUGACUUACCAUUGUAUGUGAAGUGAUGUGGAAUGUUGAAUACUUGACAUCCACAUGAACGCUGGUGUGUUGUGUGUCACAGCACGCCACCAGCAUUUUGUAUUACUACGUUUGUACCAUCUCGAACUGAAAUAUGCAAAAAGCCAAUGAAGAUACAACUUUUAGCAACGGAUCUCUUGGCUCUC